rnacentral:rRNA from 1 species
AUUGAACGCUGGCGGCAGGCCUAACACAUGCAAGUCGAACGAGUGGCGGACGGGUGAGUAAUGUCUGGGAAACUGCCUGAUGGAGGGGGAUAACUACUGGAAACGGUAGCUAAUACCGCAUACACUCGGAUGUGCCCAGCGGGGAUUAGCUAGUAGGUGGGGUAACGGCUCACCUAGGCGACGAUCCCUAGCUGGGCUGAGCGGAUGACCAGCCACACUGGAACGGAGACACGGUCCAGACGCAGACGGGAGGCAGCAGUGGGGAAUAUGGCACAAUGGGCUCAAGCCUGAUGCAGCCAUGCCGCGGGUAUGAAGAAGGCCUUCGGGUUGUAAAGCACUUUCAGCGGGGAGGCGUUACCCGCAGAAGAAGCACCGGCUAACUCCGUGCCAGCAGCCGCGGUAAUAC